AUGGGCCGGGAUGAGAAGUCUACACAUGAACCCUAUUCUUUAAACAAUAGGGGCUGGCAGGAUGGGGAGGGCGGAAUGAGGAAAUUACCUAGAGAGUCGUCGCUGGUGGCUUCAAUUGGGGAGACAAGAGGGUCGGGUUCUCAGGGGGAGGGUCGGUGCGGUGGAUCCCAUCUCGGCCGGUGGGGCGGCCUGCUCCAAUCUGCCGUCAUAGGUCGCUGCAAUCUGGGAGAAGAGGGGCUGCUCGCGGGGCAAGUUGUUGCGCUGGAUCCAAGGCCCGAGCACGGCCUGAGCGCAGGGCGGCCUCCCCAAAAGUGCCAUCGCCGGUCGCUGCAAUCUAGAGAAGAAGAGAGCCAGAUGAAUCUAGCUAUGAAGAAAAUUUGGGGUGGGUUGUGGAUGGAUGCGGGGGGGAAUUAG
rnacentral:rRNA from 1 species